rnacentral:tRNA from 1 species
GGCUCGGUAGCUUAGUAAAGCGCUCGUCUAGCAUACAAGAGUCCUGGGUUCAAAUCUCAGCCGAGCAC